GAUGAACGCUGGCGGCGUGCCUAACACAUGCAAGUCGAGCGAUUUACUUCGGUAAAGAGCGGCGGACGGGUGAGUAACGCGUGGGUAACCUGCCCUGUACACACGGAUAACAUACCGAAAGGUAUGCUAAUACGAGAUAAUAUGCUUUUAUCGCAUGGUAGAAGUAUCAAAGCUUUUGCGGUACAGGAUGGACCCGCGUCUGAUUAGCUAGUUGGUGAGGUAACGGCUCACCAAGGCGACGAUCAGUAGCCGACCUGAGAGGGUGAUCGGCCACAUUGGAACUGAGACACGGUCCAAACUCCUACGGGAGGCAGCAGUGGGGAAUAUUGCACAAUGGGCGAAAGCCUGAUGCAGCAACGCCGCGUGAGCGAUGAAGGCCUUCGGGUCGUAAAGCUCUGUCCUCAAGGAGGAUAAUGACGGUACUUGAGGAGGAAGCCCCGGCUAACUACGUG
rnacentral:rRNA from 1 species